UACGGGGGGGCAAGCGUUGUCCGGAUUUAUUGGGCGUAAAGAGCGUGUAGGCGGCCAGGUAGGUCAGCUGUGAAAACUCGAGGCUCAACCUCGAGACGUCGGUUGAAACCACCUGGCUAGAGUCCGGAAGAGGAGAGUGGAAUUCCUGGUGUAGCGGUGAAAUGCGCAGAUAUCAGGAGGAACACCGGUGGCGAAGGCGGGUCUCUGGGCCGAUACUGACGCUGAGGAGCGAAAGCGUGGGGAGCGAACAGG
rnacentral:rRNA from 1 species